rnacentral:rRNA from 1 species
UACGUAGGGUGCAAGCGUUGUCCGGAAUUAUUGGGCGUAAAGAGCUCGUAGGCGGUCUGUCGCGUCUGCUGUGAAACUCAGGGCUUAACCCUGAGCUUGCAGUGGGGUACGGGCAGACUAGAGUGGCGGUAGGGGAGACUGGAAUUCCGUGGUGUAGCGGUGAAAUGCGCAGGAUAUCAGGAGGAACACCGGUGGCGAAGGCGGGAUCCUGGGCCAGUACUGACGCUGAGGCACGAAGGUCAGGGGAGC